AUGUUCCCUGUGAUGUUCAUGGAUUGCUGGUCCUUGUACAUUCUCGACACUGAGAAGAAGAUUGUAAUGGUGCUUGAUCCAACAGAGACAGAUCCAUCAGAUGAGAUGAAGAGGAAGCAUGAGGCGCUGGCAAGGAAGUUCCAGCGUAGGUUUUACAACCUUUUUAAUGACAAGUUUGGAGCAGGCUUGGUCGAGACGACUGGAUGGUCAUUUGUGUACCCGUUGGUUGCGCAACACGAGCCAUGCACCAGGGAAGACGGUGUGGUGUAUGUCCUGCACUACAUACUGGAGUUCACUGGCCUUUACCUGAGAUCGAAUAUGAACCAGGAGCAGAUCGAGCACCUCCGCAAGAAGAUUGCAUGUGACAUAGUGACGAUGAAGGAGAAUAAGGGAUGCAUCCCAGAGUUCCUGUACGAGGAGAUCCUCGACUAA
rnacentral:rRNA from 1 species